rnacentral:rRNA from 1 species
AACGAACGCUGGCGGCAUGCCUAACACAUGCAAGUCGAACGAGACCUUCGGGUCUAGUGGCGCACGGGUGCGUAACGCGUGGGAACCUGCCCUUAGGUUCGGAAUAACUCCCCGAAAGGGGUGCUAAUACCGGAUAAUGUCUUCGGACCAAAGAGUUAUCGCCUUUGGAUGGGCCCGCGUUGGAUUAGCUAGUUGGUAGGGUAAAAGCCUACCAAGGCGACGAUCCAUAGCUGGUCUGAGAGGAUGAUCAGCCACACUGGGACUGAGACACGGCCCAGACUCCUACGGGAGGAAGCAGUGGGGAAUCUUGGACAAUGGGCUAAAGGCUGAUCCAGCAAUGCCGCGUGAGUGAUGAAGGCCUUAGGGUUGUAAAGCUCUUUUACCCGGGAAGAUAAUGACAGUACCGGGAGAAUAAGCUACGGAUAACUCCGUG